rnacentral:lncRNA from 1 species
AUACCUUGAACAUGUCCUGUUUAGGUGUAAAUUAUUUGAGGAUUUUUGGAAUUGUUUUGACAUGGAAUUGAAUGCAAUAGUUCUGUUUGAAUGUUUGGUGUUCCAUUUGACCUAAAUUGAAUUGUUUUGUGCAUGAAAUGAAUAUAAUGAAUGGUAUGAGCAUGGGACUAAUUGUGUUGGCUUUUGUUUGACGUUAAUUUGACUUUGGUUAGAGAUCCCUUGCUGUUU